rnacentral:rRNA from 1 species
AUGGAAAUUCAACAUUAAUAUUAUAAUAUUUAUUUAUAAAUAUUAUAAAAAUAGUGUGCAAUUUUUCCAUAUAAGGACAUUGUAAUCUGUUAAUGUAAUAAAUAUUUAUCAUAAGAUUCAAUAAAUCAAAGUUUAUUUAAAUUAGUUAUUUUCCGAUUUCUAACAUAGAAUAAAUUUAAUUGAAUUUGAUAAAUCAUUGACAGAUUUAUUUAUAUAUAGUGCUUAAAUUUUUAAUUAAAUUUUACAAUAAUUUAUAAAUAUAUUAUUAUUUAUUUAUUUAUUGUAUGCACUUAUAUGAUUAACAAUGCUAUAGAUUCAGGAUACCUUCGGGACCCGUCUUGAAACACGGACCAAGGAGUCUAACAUAUGUGCAAGUCAUUGGGUAUUUUUAAUAAAACCCAAAGGCAUAAUUAACUUAACUGUUUUUUUAAUAAUGGGAUUAGUUUAUAUUUUAUUAUGAAAUAUUAAUUCAAUCCCGGGGCGUUCUAUAUAGUUAUGUAUAAUAAUAUUUAUAUAAUUUAUGCCUCUAACUAAAGCGUACCUUGAGCAUAUAGGCUGU